GACCCAAGCAAGAUAAAGCUCCAGGCCAGCGAGGUGUGGAGGGAGGACCGGGGCUUCAGGAGCAAGAGGGAGGCCCCUGUGGAAAAGAGGUCCUGUGAGGAGGGAACGGAUGUGGGGUACAUACCCAGGAGUGGAACUGCUGAGUCACCUUCCUUUACUGUACUAUUUCUCAGAACAUUUUUUUUUGAGGAAGAUUAGCCCCAAGCUAACAUCUGUGCCCAUCUUCCUCUAUUUUAUAUGUGGGACACCUUUCACAGCAUGGCUUGAUAAGCGGUGCAUAGGUCCACGUCUGGGAUCCACACCGGCGAACCCCAGGCCACUGAAGCAGAGCACAUGAGCCUAACCACUACGCCACCAGGCCGGCCCCCUGUUUCUUAGAACUUUUGACAUAAUGUGCAUUUUCCAAACUUAUUUGACCAAGAAACCGUUUUUCCACAAAGCAUCUUAGAAGACUUCGGGAAGGUGUGAUUUGGCCCAAUCCCCUCAUUUUGGGGAAACAGCAGCCCAGAUGGGUUUAGCAAUCUGCCAAGAUCACACAGGAAGUGAGAGGUGAAGUCACUGCAGGAAAUCAGAAGAAAUAUGUGACUAUAGUCAUGUGCUGCAUAACGAGGUUUUGGUCGACCAUGGACUGCAUAUACGAUGGUAGUCCCACAAGAUUUCAGUGGAGCUGAAAAAUUCCUAUUGCCUAGUGCAUCUGGAAGGAGACACUCAAGAGGUUUGCCUGUGACCUCAAAGGGUUUGCCAAGGAUGAUGAGCGAGGUUGCAAAAAUUAUCAAGGCUGUGGUUGAAAUGACAAAUAAUUUUAACCUGGCUGUCGAUGAGGAUGACGCUGAGCAGCUCCUAGAGGUGGUUCCUGAGGAAUUCACUAAUCAGGAGUUGUUGGAACUGGAACAGGAACACAUAGCUAAGGAAGAGGCAAGAGAAAAGGCAACCACAGAAGAAGAAAAAGAGAAACCUGCAAGAAAAUUCACAGUGAAGGGUUUAGCAGAAACUUUUCCAGACCUCAACGAGCUCCUUAAAAAAGUUUGAAAACAUGGACCCCAACGCUGGAAGUUUUCAUUAGUAGAGGCGAAUGUUUAUGGUUAUCUGCUUACAGGCAAAUCUAUGAUGAAAAAAGGAAACAAACCAUCAAACCACCAUGGAUGUAUUUCUGAAAAAAAUGACACCUCCUCAAGCAGAAUCUCAGGCAGGUCCUUCAGGAGGUGUUCCAGAAGAAGGCGUUGUUACCACAGGCGGCAACAGCUCCAUGUGUGUUAUUGCCCCUGAAGACCUUCCAGUGGGACCAGAUGUGGAGGUGGAAGACAGUGAUGUGAAGAUCCUGACCCUGUGUAUGGUGUAGCCUGAGUGUUCCGUGUUUGGACAGUCUGCAGCAGGGCACAGUGUCGUCCUUGGCCUUCACAGUCGCUCACCGCUCACGCUCUGACUCACCCCGAGCAACUUCCAGUCCUGCAAGCUCCAGUCACGUGUUUUUCUAGUUUCUGAGAGCAGAGCAUCAAAUGACAAUUCCAGAGACAGGCUUUCAAUGUGACAAUUUGACAACCACCUCCCUCAACGGCAGGAUUAGAAGGCCUGGACCUGGAGCACACAUGAUGUCACUUGGACUUGAAGAAAGAAACAUUUCAUCAAAGGCAUAAAAUGAAACGCGCCAGCUCCGCCAGAGCCCAGUGUGAGCUGCUUCCCUCCGUCCUCCACAAACAGGGCUGCGUUUCCCAGUAUUCAGGCUGAAGAGGGCUGGGCCCCAAGUGCCCAGAGGGAACCGCACACAAUUGCGUGGCACUGCUCCCAUUUUCAAGAGAAUAUCCUCGACAUGCCUGGAAGGAUCCAGCAGUGCUCCUCCUCAUCUCACUCCUGAGGACUUGAGGGACUGCACCGUGGACAGCACAGCUCCUGUAAGCCACAGCCCCGGCAGAGAGGAGCCUCGGGGUCAUGCGGCCCACCGGCUCUGGUGCUGCGUCCUCUGCUCCCCUGAGGGAGGAAGCUGGCCAGGCUCCUGAGAUCUCCAUUGGGUGCAGAUCCCUGUGCGCAGCCCAGAGCUCCAGCUGGCACCCUAGCCUGGCAACAAGCUCGGACCAGGAUGUGGAAGAAGAGGCGCCCCCAGCUCUGAAAGAAACUGCAGGAUCCAUGUAACUUUUCCAGUGGGCACUGGCUCUCAAGGAAGUGAGCUAAAAUGGCUAAUGUCAAUCCGCCAUUGUCACAGGCAGUAUUGCCUAGUGGUUAGGAACACACGAUUUCGUUUCAAAUGCCCAUGGGGGAGAGACUUAUAGUCUCUCUGAGGCUCAGUUUCCUCCUCUGAAAAUGGGAGUGGCCAUAGUACCUACCCCAUGCUUUGUUAGGAGGAUUACGAGAUGAUGUUCGUAAUGCAAAGCAGGGUGCCUGGCAUUUUAAUGGCUUUGGAAUACAAGGGUAUUAUUGUUAAGGUGAACGACAAGAGCCUGAGUUAUAGAGAGAUUUAUAGUCUUCACAAGAAGUAUGGCAACUCCCCUCCACCUAUAAAGCUGCUGGGAGUAGUUUAAAAGCAGCCUGGGAGUUGUCGAGCAAGGCUGGAGCCAAGUGGGGAGUCUGUGAGCGAAGCCCGGGCUCCCGGGCCCGGCUCCCGUCCAGCAGGACAGCUGUUAAGGGAACAAGGAGAUCUGAGCCUCCGCUGCUCCGGCCUAGUGAUGCUGUGUGGGACGAGCUACUUAAUCUUCACAACCACCCUGUGAGAGGUGUCUUUUUAUUCCAUUUUUCAGAUGCGAAGAUUGAGGCGCAGAGAUGUUAGACUCGUGGCUCACAGGCAGUGAACGUGCACCGGACCUGGAUCUGCACCUCAAGCGUUUGACUUUAUAGACUGUCUCUUUUCUGCUGUGGCUGCUUGCCAGCACCUAGACAGCCUCCCGAGUUUUAGGGAAUGCCUUACGACGGGAGUCUUAAUGGGCGGAAGGCUCCCUCUGCCUGCUGGCCAGAGCGUCACUGGACCCCUCUCCACUGUUCACCCCAAACACAAACUUCAGACCUCAGAUGAGGUUGCAAAGCAAGGGGCCACUGAAAACAGGUCUGCCAUGUCCCCCAGCGGAGGCUGCGCCUGGCUUCCCGAAUCCCUGCUUCCUACCCACUCUCCAUGCCUGUGCCUCCAGCUUUCCGCAGGUGGGCUGAGCCCUGUCUAUCCUUCUCACAGAUCCCUUUGGCUUAAGUUGCCAAGGUUGGUUCCUGCUCCUUGAGUUGAAGCAGACUGACAGACACAGGCGCACAGCCACAUCCGGUCACUCUUCAGUGUCUGCCGAUCUUGACUAGGGACAGGACACAGGGGCUACUUUGGGCCCUCCGUGCAGGGCAGAGGGUAGCUGGCUACCUUUGGCUUCAUCCUUUCUGGCUUGAAAUGCCCUUCACUAAGCACAGGGAUUCCUAAACAGGGGUUCCUGCUGGUCCCCAUCAGCUGAACGUGGCUGUAGUCAAGAGGGGCAGGACUCCAGCAGGGAGGGUUGGGGGCCAGCCCAGGCCAUCAACCCCCACCAUGUGUAACCCUUCUCGAGGGUCACAGAGUGAAACAGCCGUAUAUACUUGCACACUUUCCCACACUUACACGCCUGCUUCACCUCACCUCCCUCCAUCCUGCAUAUGCGCACUGCAUGUGUACAUUCUUUGUCCCUCUGACUCCUAUGGCCUAGUUUAUUUCCUUUCCCUGUCAGCCAGCUGAGCUGCCCACUUUGGUGCUGGUGAAGUGUGAGAAGUGAAGCAGGGAAUGGCGGGUGACGAGGCAGACUUGGGGAGAGCACGGAGAGGCUUGUGUGCUAUGCUGAAGGCGGGGGACUCACGUGUGAGGACAGAGAGCCUCUGAAAAGCAAUGUCAGAUACAAGCCCCUGGGGUGCAGGGUGGAGGCUGGCAUGCUCUGCAGCUCCCUGCUCCCGGAGAGUGGCAAGGCCGUGCUGUGGAGGGUGGGAGGCCUGUGCGCAGGGUCCCUGGAAGACCCCACCGCCGCUCCCACCCCAAGCAUGUCCUUCUCUCCUCCCUGCUCAUCUGGGGCCCCUCCUUUCACCACACUGCUGUCUGCUUCCCCAGGUGGAUGAGAGGAAGAGACAAUCCAACCUCCAGGUCAUGUGUGCAUUUUCACUUGGGCCUCGGGGACAACCGCAUGACCUGCCCUUCCCCAAGCUCCUGGGACUGGACGACAGAGGCCCUGCCCUCGUCCUCUCCUCACAGUGCUUAGGUGCACCCAGCAGUGUCCCCCAGAUGCAUGGAGAACUGAAGGGGAGCCCAAAGGACUGGGAAUCCAACGCAGCUGACUUUGCUGCGCCCCUGCAGCGCAGUGGAGGAACGCAGUGUCCAGAUGUUUCUCCCUCGUUACCAAUGCUCUCCAGCAGAGGUAGCCUUGAGUACUGGGCUGACUUCUUUGGGUUCACUUCUCUUAGAUUUUUGACCGAUGACUGAUCCCUCACUAGCUUCUAGUUCUUAAAUGCUUCUAAAGAGGUUUUUCUUUUCUUUUUAAAAUCUCUUUUGGCUUUUUAAAUUGUCCUCAGUGUGAGAGUUGACAGAAAGUCCGUAGGCGACCUCCUUAGUCCAGGUGACAGAUGACAGAACUGAGGCAGUUCCCCUGUCCUUCAGACUCCCUCUUUCCUAUGAAACUAUUUCUCAUCCUUUAUCUCAUCUCCUCCUUUCUCCUUAAAUACCAACAUCUCCUCCUUCAUUCCCAAUCUUAACUAUUAGUCUUGCUUCCUGUUUCACUGAGAAAAAAGAAGCAAUCUGAAGAGAACACCCACAUGCUCCCGCCUCCCAAUACUCUCUCAUCUGUGUCUCUCCCCAUCCACUCUGCUCUCCCAACUGUUGCAAUGCACGAACUUUCCAGACUCUCCUGUGAGGCCGUGGCCUCCUCUUGUGCAGGGGACCCGAAGCUACUGCCUACCUAGAGAUAUGGCUCCAGCAGCUCUCCUUUCUCCUGCAACAUCAAAUCUCCCCUCUCUACGGACAUUUCCGUCAGAACCAAAACAUGUUACAAUACCUCCCUCUAAAAGAAAAUCUUUUCCUGAUUCCAUAUCUCUUACAUUUGGCUACCACCCAUUUUUAUACUUCUCCCAGCAGCAAAACUCCUUUAAAGAGUUGUUGACACUCUCUGUCUCUAUCUCUUCCUCUCUCAUUUCUUCUUGAACCUACUCUGAGCUGGCUUUUAGCCCCACCAUUCCACAGAGCAGUUUUUCUCAAGGUCACCAAUGAUCUCCAGGUUGCCAAGUCCAAUGGCCAAUUCUCAGGACUCAUUUUACUUGCUCUGUCAGUGGCAGCUCUCACUCCCACCGUGUUAAACCACUUCCUCACUUAGUAUCCGGUUCUCCUCCCACCUCACUAGCUUCUCCUCCCAUAGACUCUAAGCAGAAUAGAAGGAGUGCCCAGGGUUCAGUCCUGGGGGGUUUCUUUUCUCUGUCCCUGCUAAGUGACCUAGCGCCCUAGGUGAUCUCAACAAGUCUAAAUGGCUACUUGCUGCUGACCGGUCAAAUUUCUAUCUCCAGCCUAGACUCCCCUGAACUCCAGGUUCACACGGUCAAUUGUUCACGCUCCAUGUCCACCGAGAUGUCUCAUAGGAAUCGCAAAAUUAACAUGUCCAAGAACAAACGCCUAAUUGCACCCCUCCUAAAUCUUAAUCUUUCCCAUUCAGUACAUGGCAACGCCAUUCUGCCAGUUGCUCAAGUCAAAAACUUUGGCGUCAACCUUGACUUCUCUCUUUCUUUCAUAGCCAUAUACAAUCCUGUCAAAUCCUGUCAUUUUUACCUUCAAAAGAUGGGCCAAAUCACUGUCCUCACUACUGGCCAAAGUCACCAUCAUACCUUACUUGGAUUAUUUCAGUAGCCUCUUAACUGGUCCUCCAACAAUCUGUUAUCCACACAGAAGCCAGAGCGACCCUUUAAAAACACAGCAGAUGAUGAUGCACCUCGCUCAGUCUUCCAGGGGCUUCCGUCACACUCAGUGUAAAAGCCAAACUCUCUACAACAGAUCACAAGGUCCCAGGUGAUGGGGCCUCUGUUAGCUCUCUGGUCUCCUCCCCUUCUGCUGUCCCCAGUCACUCGAACAUGUCACCCACUGUGCUAACCGUUCCUCCGCCCGGCCUGGAAGGAUGUGGCUGUAAAAUGCACUCUCCCCCUCGCCUCAGCAUUUUUAAUACAUUUCUUUUUCCUAGAACGUCUUUCUUUCCCUCGUCUAUUGUAGCCAAACUCCUACCACAUCCAACCAACUUCUCCUUCCCCACAUUUCAGUCAAAGGCUUCAUCUCUGAAGGCUCGACGGAGGGUGGUUUGGAUUCCUGGGCACUCGCUCUUCCCCACCAAGCAGCUCUGCCCACUCCGAGAGGCGCGGUGCCAGCCCCCAAGCCUCAGCCUUGCUUAGGAGAGCUCACUUCUCUUGUUUCAUGCCAGGAGAAGCCUUAGAGUCAGGGCUCCAGAUCAGCAUAUCGUUGCCACAUCCUCCUGCCUUUCCUUCACCAGCAUUUCUCUCUUCUGAGCUCCAGGAGCAUUUGGCACACACCUUUACCAGAAAACAUAGCUUAUGGCUUGCCAGUCUAUCCUCUGUUAGCCCAGCAGCGGAUCCACAAGUUAAGUGUCACAGUUGGCUCGGUAUCUCCAGUGCCUUGUCCUCUUCUUGGCACAUAGAUGUUUAAUAAAUGUUUAUAGAAAAACAUAAUUCCCAAAGGACAUGAGCAGGGUUGUAUAAAUAAGAAUAACUGCAAUGACUAUUUGAUUUAUAAAAUGUCAUUAAAUAUGCUAUUCCACAACA